GAGAAGGGGCUUUCGGGCCCUGAGUAAAGCGGCGAACGGGUGAGUAACAGGUGGGCAACGUGCCCUGAAGUUCGGAAUAACCCCGAGAAAUCGGAGCUAAUACCGGAUGUGGCGUUUCGGACGCAAGUUGGAAACGUUAAAGGUUAAUCUUUCGGGAUUAGCCGCUUCGGGAGCGGCCCGCCCUCGAUUAGCUUGUUGGUGAGGUAACGGCUCACCAAGGCGACGAUCGAUAGCUGGUCUGAGAGGAUGGUCAGCCACACUGGGACUGAGACACGGCCCAGACUCCUACGGGAGGCAGCAGUGGGGAAUUUUGCGCAAUGGGGGAAACCCUGACGCAGCAACGCCGCGUGAAGGAUGAAGGCUUUCGAGUCGUAAACUUCUGUCCUCAGGGAAGAAGGAAGUGACGGUACCUGAGGAGGAAGCCCCGGCUAACUCCGUGCCAGCAGCCGCGGUAAUACGGGGGGGGCAAGCGUUGUUCGGAAUUACUGGGCGUAAAGGGCGCGUAGGCGGCCUGAGAAGUUCUGGGUGAAAGCCCCCGGCUCAACCGGGGAAGUGCCUGGAAAACCAUCGGGCUGGAGUGCUGGAGAGGCCGGUGGAAUUUCUGGUGUAGCGGUGAAAUGCGUAGAUAUCAUAAGGAACACCUGAGGCGAAGGCGGCCGGCUGGACAGACACUGACGCUGAGGCGCGAAAGCCAGGGGGAGCAAACGGGAUUAGAUACCCCCGGUAGUCCUGGCUGUAAACGUUGGGUACUUGGUGUGGGGGGUGAAAAAA
rnacentral:rRNA from 1 species